rnacentral:lncRNA from 1 species
UUCCAUCGAUUGGUGCGGCUCAGGAACCAGGGAGGGGUCAAGGACGUUCACCAGCGACCGGGGAUCCUGCGCGGGCUGGCAAUCGGGCGUGGGCGUCACCUUAACCCGACGAAUAGCUCGCCGCAGACUUGCUCCUCCGGCCGAACCGCCAUUCACCGUCGGGCCACUCGCGCCGACACUCUCCACCGUUGGUAUGUGGCUUAUUGUGUUCGUCUCUCCUUGCUCUUUGUUAAUCACGGGUGUAUGUGGGGGAUUCGAGAUCGAGGCUCCUGUUGACCGUAACUCCGGCAUGGUCUCCACCGUCGGACCUGGGCGCCGCCGGGUACCGUGACCGGGAUUGGGGAUAGUAGCCCACGCCGUAGAUCAUCGCAUGGACGGCCUCAAUUAGAUCUAGGGAUACCGGUUCGGCUGGAUGGCAUCAGUGCCGUUGGAUUGUAGACGUGUGGCCAGGAUUAGAUCUAGAAGAUGAGUGUGUGACCCUCGGAUCUGGACGAAUGGUUCAGAUUUGAUCCAGCGUGAGGCAUUGUUCCGAGCCAAUUCGGACCGUUGGAUGCGAUCUGUUCGACCCCUAUUAGAUCUCACUUCAUAAAACCCUGACCAUCGAUCUUUAAUCGGACGGCCGUAGUUUAAUACCGGUUCAUAUGGAACUCCAUCUAAUCCCGCGCGUCCGAUUUAGAUCGUGCGGCUCACAUACCACGAUACCCCUUCGCGGGUACAUUUUUCUAAAGAGACCCCAAGUUUUCGCAGAAUCAACCCGCCAUCCCACUCCACUGUGCGCUGGGUCUCUGGUUUCUUGCGCCGGGAACCCUGCUCUUUCUGGUAUUUGAGGCGUAGUCCAGGAACUUGGGAAAUCAGGAAAAAGAUAUAGAAAAUGAGUUUUUAAUGUGAAAACAAUUCAUAGAAUUUGUAUAAUUCAUAGAAAAUGCAUAUGAACUCCAAAUUGGUCCAUUCCAGUUCCUAAAUUUUUGUAAUAUUAUUGUCUAACCAUUAGUGCCUCUGUUUUGACAUGAAAGUCUCAUUAAAAUUUAUCUAGUACUUAAUCUUUUAUUAAAUACAUAAAACCUUCGAGAAAUCAUAACUCCUCAACCAUGACUCCGAUCUUAGUAGUUCUCGAUCCCGCGAUCUCGUAGCAACGUGUAGAUUAUUAUUAUGUAGUUUAUUCUUAUGUUUGGUGUGAUGUUAAUUUUGCCUAUACAUGUUUGUUUGUAUUGCUACGACUAGCAGUGAGGUUACGAGGAUCUGAAGUUCAUCCUGUCACCUGGAAUCCCAAGUCACAGGCAAGUUGUGCCCUUGAUCACUUCUUUUUACCUACUCAUGUUCUGAUUAAUCAUAAUGAUCUGCAUAGGUUAAUUUUGAUGGGACCCAAUAGGUCACCCUAGUUUGUUCAUCCUGAAUACCUUGUUUACCCCUGAAUCACUUGGGUAGUUCUGCUACUGCUUUAUAUGGUUUUGGGUUAAUAUUUCAUUACAUCUAUGUUCCAAUUAUGUUGUUAUUCUAUUUGUGUUCAUGACAAGAUCAUUAAAUGUUAAUUGGAACAUAGAGCUUAACUUGAGAAACAUGUGCCACCACAAGGGUUUAUGGACGCCCUUGGCUGAUUAAUUAGGAAAGCUAGUGGAGGACUACCUUACCCGAAAGGGGCAAGGGCAGUAGGGGAGUGGUCACUGUAGGGAGGCCCUCGGGAGGAUUUUGCUGCGAUGGCGGUCCUGCAAGGGAUUCCUGCAUUGGAACUUCCCAUAAACUGUAGCGGGUUUUCUGAAGCUAGUGGAACUUUGUAAAGGCCUCGUAGUGUUACCCUGCCUCGCCUCCUCGGUAGAGGUGUAUGGGAAGUCGCGAUCUCUUGGCAGAUGGGUAACAUGACUUGUGGGUAAAGGGUACCACCUCUGCAGAGUGUAAAACUGGUAUACUAGCCGAGCUCACGGUCAUGAGCAGCUCAGGACUCUCUGAUGAUUAAAUUAUGGAACUUAAACUCAAUUUGUCAUAUGCAUUGCAUCGCAGGUGAUGUUGUUACUUCUGUUCUACUACUUAAUUGGGUUGGUAUUUACUUAUACUUAGUAACCGCUAAUAAAAUUUUGACCAACUUUAAAAGCAAUGCUCAGCUCUAACCAUCCUCUUUGGUAAGCCUUACACUUCACGUGAGCUCCCACCUUUGGCGAGUUCAUGCACAUUAUUCCCCACAACUUGUUGAGCGAUGAACGUAUGUGAGCUCACUCUUGCUGUCUCACACCCCCCCACACAGGUCAAGAACAGGUACCACAGGAUGAGGCGCUUGGAGGAUGCUGUGAUGUGUUCGUGAGAGAUCUAGGCCGUCGUCUCCCAGUCAACUUUGGGUUGCUGGAUCGUUUCCUCAUAUGAUGUAAUUAUUUAAUUAUUUUUGUACAGAACUCCUGUUAUAUAGUAAAGAUGUGACAUUCGAUCCUGUGCCACUAUGCAUCAUAUGUGUGAGACUUGGUCCCAGCACACCUGGUGUUUAUGUUCGCGCCCGGGUUUUGGACCCCCGAAAUCCGGGUGUGACAUCCUAUUAGUUUGUU